rnacentral:lncRNA from 1 species
UUCUGCGCCUGGUUUUUAUCGGCGCGGGGGCAGCGGGGCGAAAGGGCCACGGGAUUGCGGGUUAUUUACGGGAUCUGCCACGCCGGGAGCGGCGUGGCAGGCGAAAAUAUCUGCCGCGGAGGCGGUAGGGUGGGCCCUCGGCUGUAAGGGGGCGGCGCUAGGUGGGGCCCGUGGCGUGGGAUCGGAUCCGACGAUGCACGUGGUUUCCUUCGCUUCGCAGGGAAGAAAAUGC